AAAUGACCUUUCCAAUUCAUGAAAAAAUAAUCUGACUGCACCAUUUUGGACCUCUUGACAUUUAGAGAGAGUUGGGAUUUAGACAGACCAUAGAAGAAGGAAUUGCACAAUUCAAGAUGAGAAGUGAUUAAGACAGUCUGGUGCUAUGAAAAAGCCAUUUAUUGUUUUGAAUUUUGCACUAGUGGGAUAGAAAUGUAAAGAAAUGUAAUAUCUUUUAAUUAUGCUGUGCUAGCCAGGGCAUAGGGACGCUAAAUGCUUAGUGACACAUUGCUGUAGUUUCCUAUACCUCCCUCUUACUUACCCACUUUUCCCUCCUCUCAAUUCUGUAUAUGGGAAAUGUUAGGCACUUGAAUUAAACAUCUUACAUGUUACAAUUGUAACAAAGGAAUUCAUCACA
rnacentral:lncRNA from 7 species